ensembl:lncRNA
CACGGAUUUUUAGAAAUUCAGCCAUGCAAUUAUACUCCCCCUUUGUGAUGGAGAGUAUUGCAUGGCCGAACGUUGCACAUGUUUUGUGCUUUUUAACCUGUGAAGUAAGAUAAUUAUGAAUAAGUGUAUGACUAUAUAUAUAUAAACAGACAAAUGCAAACAAAACAAUGACUACUACAACCCUCACACAAAUGUCAUGGCCAUCUCUGCCCUCUUUAAAGGAAUGAAAUUCCUCCACGGUGAGGUUCAUGGUUUCUCCUGGCCUGUGACCAGAGGUUACAAUCAUGACCGCACCGAGGAGGCCAAAGAACAGGUCCAGCUGCCUCUGAUCAUGAUGUAGUUUUUCUAAAACAUAAUGAAAACAAAUCAUUCAACACAAUGAAAACCAUUAACUAUGAAAUCAAACUCUUAAUCCACUUUUGUAUUUUGUUGUCUGGAAUCGACCAAAAGCCUUGUAACUUACGCAGUAUUUUGGGAAGCACCUCCGAAGUGGCCCUCACAAACUCAGCAUGGGCAGCUGGAUCCAAAAGGUUUUCUGAUUUAAAAAAAGAGGUAGUUUGAUUAAGCACACCGCAGACGGUGAAGUCCUUUAGGAACUCCAAACACCGACCACACGCAAAGCAAAACCGAGUUAAGCUGCUCAUGUGUUUGCCACAAAACAGGCAAAACAUCCCUCGGUCGCCAUAAACUUUAAGUCAUUUAUUCCACAAUACGAAUUUAACACACUCACCAAAAACAACAACACCUUUCACCACGUCACUUCCGAUCUGUGGUACAUUCCCUUUCCGUGAAGAAUCUGUCAUUGUAAAUUUGUUUCGUCCUUGGUAAAAGUGUUUUCCCCGUGUAAUUGUGUUUAAUGAUUGGUAAAAAUGUUUUCCAAAAUGUAAAUUUUGUCUCGAGCUUUGUAAAAGUGUUUCACACUUUGUAAUGUUGUCUUGGACUUCCCGGCCACGGUAUAGAAGUGAGGAGAUCUUCAACGAGCAGUCCACAGAGUAGAGGAACAGGCUGAUCACUGUCGAAGGGCAGGACCCAUCUGCUAAAGAUCUCACCAGAUUUCAAUAAGUGGACCUCGGGCUGCCAGGCCUGCCUGUUUUUCAGCUCCUCUUUUGAGCACAUUUUUAUUAUAAGAAGAGCCCGUUUAACGGCUUUCUUGGACACUCUCAGCCCAUCGGGGCCUGCCUCCUUCACCCAAUUAAUAAAGUGGGAAAGGUCCACUAAUUUGUGCACCAUUGUGGUGGCCCGAUAAUUGUGGUGUUCUUUUAGCGUUUUGAUAUAGCUGAAAAAAAUAAGACAGACAAAAUGGAUCAGCCAUCUUCAGUGUGAGUUGGAUGAAUGUGUGUGUUUUCUUAAUUUCUAGAGCACAGACAGCAGAAAUAUUAAUGUCAGAGUUUAUCAAUACUACUGAACUACUUUCAUAAUUUAGCCCCGGGACUGAUUAAAUACCAGGUUUUGUUACCCAUUCCCAAAGUUUAACCAGAUUUCUUUCACAACACACAUUUUAAAACAACUACAUAUUACAAAGUCAUCUUCCAUUUGUCAAGUAAGUGUUUUAAAAUUAUCAAACGACAGCAAAUUACCCCCCCC